rnacentral:rRNA from 1 species
GACGAACGCUGGCGGCGUGCUUAACACAUGCAAGUCGAACGGAAAGGCCCUGCUUUUGUGGGGUGCUCGAGUGGCGAACGGGUGAGUAACACGUGAGUAACCUGCCCUUGACUUUGGGAUAACUUCAGGAAACUGGGGCGAAUACCGGAUAGGAGCUCCUGCUGCAUGGUGUGGGUUGGAAAGUGUCGGCGGUUGGGGAUGGACUCGCGGCUUAUCAGCUUGUUGGUGGGGUAGUGGCUUACCAAGGCUUUGACGGGUAGCCGGCCUGAGAGGGUGAACGGCCACAUUGGGACUGAGAGACGGACCAGAAGCGAACGGGAGGCAGUAGGGGGGAGCAUUGCACAACGGGCGGAAGCCUGAUGCAGCAACGCCGCGUGCGGGAUGACGGGCUACGGGUUGUAAACAGCUUUCGCAUGUGCCGAAGAGUGAGUGACGGUAAUGGGUCAAGAAGCCCCGGCUAACUACGUG